ACAGAUCGUUCAGAGUUUGAUCCUGGCUCAGAUUGAACGCUGGCGGCAUGCCUUACACAUGCAAGUCGAACGGUAACGCGGGGCAACCUGGCGACGAGUGGCGAACGGGUGAGUAAUGCAUCGGAACGUGCCCAGUAGUGGGGGAUAGCCCGGCGAAAGCCGGAUUAAUACCGCAUACGACCCAAGGGUGAAAGCGGGGGAUCGCAAGACCUCGCGCUAUUGGAGCGGCCGAUGUCAGAUUAGGUAGUUGGUGGGGUAAAGGCCUACCAAGCCUACGAUCUGUAGCUGGUCUGAGAGGACGACCAGCCACACUGGGACUGAGACACGGCCCAG
rnacentral:rRNA from 1 species